GCGGCUGAGUGCGGCGACGACGCAUCUGUACCGCUCUGCUUACACUUACUACAAAUCCGUCUCAGUGGCGCUCAUCCGAUCAGCGGUCGAUGCAGUCGGCGACCGAGACGCGAAGCGACGAUGCAACGUGUCGACAUAUGCACGGCGCAUCGUUGCGCGAGUCCAUCAUGAAUUAGCCAGUGGCUCUCUCGCGCGGGGAAACGUCGCGCCGAUGCACCAUUACGGUGCGUUACGAAAUAAGAGAGUACGAUUAAAGAAAUCCGAGUAGCAUAAAAGUCGAGGCUCGUCGAUGACGUUUCCCCGAUGAUGCUUCUCGACGUAUACUUAACUCGCGGAUUGAAACAAAUGUUUAAUUGCGCAACACGCGUGAUUAGCCGCGAUACGCGCGCGAUUACGGCCACGUUUCAUGCUAAUGUAAUCGAUAGGAAGACGAUUAUUUGUCAAUAGAUAAUUAGACGAUGCGGCGCACCGCAAAGGAUGCAGCGCAUUGAAUGGCGGAUGAGUAAUUGCAGCGCGAAUAUUACCCGCGAUUGCGAGCGCCGUCAUUGGUACACUCUGUAAAUGAGAAGUAAAAUUGGUGGAUGACACGCAAACGUCCCGCAGGAACGUGACGAUAAUGCCGGGGCAGCGGAGGACGCCGAGGCUUUUAAUUAAAAGUCCAACGCGGUGCCAUAAAGGCGAUCUUUCGCGACACUUACGAGCAUGUGUGAACGACGAACUGUUUAUAUUACUGCGACGCGCCGGAGACUUUUGCUAUCGACAAAGGCCUACGUAACCGGAUCACAUUCGUCAUCAACUAACCAGUUCCGUUCUCGAUUGCAGGCAUAUGGCGCAGAUGGCUGAAUGAGUGUACAAUCUGCUGAUCGCGACUUACCUGAAAGAAAAAUAAGACAUUGUAAUUAGUAAUUUGA